AUGACAAUAUGCUCUAUAUUAUACCUUCAGAUCAUCACAGCAGCCGAAGUUGCUGUGCAGAGAAAGGAGAUCGUCCAAGCAUCAGGCCUCAUCCCAUCACAGAGGAAGGGUAUCCUCCAAAAAGCCAGUGUCCCUUCACAGAGGGAGGGGAUUCUCUCAGCCGCCAGCGUCAAUGCACAGAGGGAGGAGAACCUCCGAUCAUCAGGCGUCAUCCCUGCACGGAGGGAGGGGAUCCUCCAAACAGCUAGUGUCCCUUCACAGAGGAAGGGGAAUCUCUCAGCCGCCAGCAUCAAUGCACAGAGGGAGGAGAUCCUACGAUCAUCAGGCCUCAUCUCGUCACAGAGGGCGGGGAUCCUCCAAACAGCCAGUGUCACUGCGCAGAGGGAGGAAAUCGUCCCAAUGGCCAGCGUCCCUGUGCACAGGGAGGGGAUUGUCCCAAGGGCUAGUGUCCCUGCUGAGAGGGAGGAGAUCCUCCGAGCAUCAGGCCUCAUCCCUGCACGGAGGGAGGGGAUCCUCCAAACAGCCAGUGUCACUGCGCAGAAGGAGGAAAUCGUCCCAAUGGCGAACGCCCCUGCGCACAGGGAGGGGAUUGUCCCAAAGGCUAGUGUCCCUGCUGAGAGGGAGGAGAUCCUCCGAGCAUCAGGCCUCAUCCCUGCACAGAGGAAGGGGAUCCUCCAAACAGCCAGUGUCCCUGCACCGAGGGAGGGAAUUCUCAGAGCAGCUAGCAUCACUGCGCAGAGGGAGGAGAUCCUCAGAGCAUCAGGCCUCAUCCCUGCACAUAGGGAGGGGAUCCUCCGAGCAUCAGGCCUCAUCCCUACAAAGAGGGAGGGGAUUCUUCCAGCAGCUUCUAUCACUGCGCAGAAUAAUAAGAUGCUCAGAGCAUCACAACUCACCCCUGCACAAAGGGAGUUGAUCCUCCUGAUGACCAGUGUCACUGCGCAGAGAAAGGGAAUCUUCCCAAAGGCCAGUGUCUCUGCUUACAGGGAGUGGAUCGUCCCAAAGGCUGGUGUCCCUGCAGAGAGGGAGGAGAUCCUCCUCACAGCCAGUUUCCCUGUGAAGAAGGAAAACAAUCAUCCACAACCACCUCCCAUCAUCCCCAUGGUGGCACCACUGUGGAAAUGGGAUGUUGGAGCGUGUACUGCACCUGUGGAUUUCUAUUCCAAGAGAAGAGAUGUCCGACUUAGAUAUGUUGAGCAUCCUGCUAUGAUGUCCAUCACCAAGCCGGAACACUCCGAUGCCAACCCUCUGUUCCAGACUGGCACCCGGCCGGUGGCUGAGCCCGAGACCCCUGCUGUUCACAAUAACAGUGGAGGCUGGCUCAGCUGGGUCUUUGGGAGUGGAAGAGCUAAUAAGAAGGAGGUUCAUCUACCUGAGGACAAAGACAGAUCUGUUAGGAACUGGUUCCUAACACUAUAUUCUAUGUAGAGACAAUUGAGUGGAUUUUGUUUCAAAAAAAUUGUGGCUUGCUUCACAUUGCUAAUAUCUUCUUCCUCAGAUUGUCUGGGAUCCAACUCUGCACAGAUGGUUUAACAAAACUGAGCCCAAGGCUGAGGUACACACUUAAAUUCAAUUAAAUUAAAAACAGUGAACAACCAUUGUAUUUCAACUGUGAUAAUAUUACUAACAAUUUGGAAAAAUUGUUGAUGUGUUUUACAGAACAAGUGUGUACCACCACCUCCACCGAUGGGGACAUAUGGAUAUCAGGGGAACACUGGCAGUGUCCCCAAAGGAGUGAAUCCUUACUCUAUGAAAGCAGGUGAAUAUUGCUUUAGAAUACAUGUGGUUUAACCAAGACUGUGUCAGCCAAUCAUAGAUGUCCCUGGUGAUCUGCUAACACCUUUCCCACUACCAGCAGGUCUAUGGGGCAGCAGAUACCCUACAAUGCAUUUCAAUGAUGGGACAAACUCAAAGCCUCCAAGCCAUGGGCCUGGACUGCUUACUAGACAACUCUCUGGCUUGCUCCCUCCUUCACACUUUGACCUCAUGGCACCAAUGGUUGUGCCACCUGACACUCUACCUUACUGAGGUAUCACUCUGGAAAAUCCUUCCAAAUUGUAUCCAUUCAUCAUUAACUGAGAUUUUACUUGAACAUAGCAAAUGGCUGAAGUAGCAAGAAUGUUUUGAAUGUAUUUUUUGUUUUGUCCAACAGGCCAAUUAACCAGAGUGGAUUUGCCAAACAUAGAUUUUUUCAGUGUUAAAAAACUUCAGCAUGAAAAAAUAUUAAGAGAUGAUUUUUUAAUUAAAUCUCUCCUUUGUGUCCUCAUGUAAUUUGAUGUGUUCUAUCAUCGUUUACAAUGCUUAUUGCUUCUGCAUUGCUUUACGUUACAGACAAGUGUAUAUUAUACACAUAUAUUUUAUUUCAGAAAUGCAUUUUGGAUUUCCUACAUUUACUUACUGUACAGACAAAUAUAUUUUAUACACAUAUAUUUAAAAAAAAUGUUUUUAAUGUAUUCCAUAGACAGAUCUAAAUAUAUUUAGAUGCAUUUUGAAUUUCUACAUGUCAGUAUUUUUACUAUCUGUGUCACGUGUUUAUGCCUAUUUAUGUACAUCCUGUUUACAUCUCACACAGAUGUGGCUUGAAAAGAAGACAACAGUAACAUGUCAGAUAUACACUACUCAAAAAAAUAAAGGGAACACUAAAAUAACACAUCCUAGAUCUGAAUGAAUGAAAUAUUCUUGUUAAAUACUUUUUUUUUUACAUAGUUGAAUGUGCUGACAACAAAAUCACACAAAAAUUAUCAAUGGAAAUCAAAUGUAUCAACCCAUGGAGGUCUGGAUUUGGAGUCACACUCAAAAUUAAAGUGGAAAACCACACUACAGGCUGAUCCAACUUUGAUGUAAUGUCCUUAAAACAAGUCAAAAUGAGGCUCAGUUGUGUGUGUGUGGCCUCCACGUGCCUGUAUGACCUCCCUACAACGCCUGGGCAUGCUCCUGAUGAGGUGGCGGAUGGUCUCCUGAGGGAUCUCCUCCCAGACCUGGACUAAAGCAUCCGCCAACUCCUGGACAGUCUGUGGUGGAGCGAGACAUGAUGUCCCAGAUGUGCUCAAUUGGAUUCAGGUCUGGGGAACGGGCGGGCCAGUCCAUAGCAGCAAUGUCUUC
rnacentral:lncRNA from 13 species